CUUCUAUAAGUAAUCAUGAAAAUAUGGCAGGCUAACUUGUUACCUUGUAAGUAUUAUAAAAUAUCAGGCUCUUCACAGUUCUUGAGAGGCACAAAGUAGGCCUGAGCCUCAAGAAAGAAGGGGAUGGACAAGCAGCAAAUAUGACCGAGAGCAGCAAAGCUAACCUGGGUCAGGGUUAGUGCUAGGGGUAGGGCAGAGCUGUGUGGGGUCACAGGGCUCUACCUGGUGGAAAAGGAGGGAAGAAGAGACCAGGAUUCAAGAUACCCUUUUAGGGAUGUUACAGUGCAGACAAAGAUUCUGGUGCCUCACAAGAUUUGACACAAGCCAGCGCUUUGUUGUUUUUCUCACCUGUUGGCCAGAAGAUUAUCUUGGAGCAGGAAAAGGAGCCAAGAGAAGCCUCUGAAGGAUUGUAAACAGAAGAAUGAUCCAAUUGUGUUUGUAAAUUAAAAGGUCACCCUGGC
rnacentral:lncRNA from 10 species